GCCGAUCAUUGGGGCAAACCCACUGGUCGUUCCCGCUGCCGAAGAUGGUGUCGGCCAUGGCCUGGAGUGCCCAGCCGGGGCAGGGAGUCACAUCUGAGUCACUAUUUUGAUUCCCAGGCUGCCAGGUCCACAGAGUCUCCUCUUUGCUUCAGGUAGUUUAAGCUGGGUCUUUGUUGGCCGUAAUGAAGAGCCCUGAGUAAGGCACCUCUCCAGGAAUGGGAAGGAACGGAAACACGUACGCUAACUUGAGUGAACUUGGCAUGUUAGCUGAAACGCCCUGGAAACGAGCUUCCUGCUCCAGGGCUCAACUGCCCCCGUGGAGGUCCGUGCCAGCAGCGGAGACUCCAGGGCGGUGGCUGCUCCCCUUUGAAGUGCCCCGUGAUCAUUCCCAGGUCUGCUUGGGUUCCUCUGCAGCGUCCCCAUGCCCAGAGGGAGCCCCUCCACGGUGGGCUUCUUCCACGGCCCCUGAAUGGUAUGGCAGCCUCCCUGGUGUCACCACGAGUGACCUUUUCCCCCGGCAUCCACACAGACCGCUACGGGAGGCUCACCGCCGUUCGCACCCCGAGGAUACGUGAAGCUGGCCCAGGUCAUCCCAGACCCCGGUUCAUCUGCCAGGCUCCACGUCUGGGCUCAGGCUCCACCGCUAACCACCCCAGGUCUGCCGGUCUUCGGGACCAGUACCACCAGAAGGAACGUGGCAAGGAAGCCUUGCAUGCCGACUCAAGAACCUUCCACACGAACACGUGGGGAGUGUGAGCAACCUCCGGCAUCUCUGAAUCCAGCAUCAUCCUGUGACGUAGGACUCACAAGCAGAAAGGCCCAUUGGCUGCAUCCUCUCACGCUCCAGUCCCAACCUCACCGGACGUUUGGACGUGAAAAGAGAGACAGAGCAUGAACGGGGGAGGGGCAGAGAGAGAGGGAGACA